AUAAUGUGUUGGGAUGAUUGUAUACAUACCAUCGAACACAGAUAGCUUGUUCAUUUGUUCAAUGAACAGUUUGCUGGUGAUAUGUAUCAUGGCAAAAUAACUUCUCUUUCUUUGAAUACCUUGGAACUUUAGAAACAUAUGUUAUACACAUCAUAAGGUUAUGACUUGUUAAUGUAAUCCAGUGGAUUGUUUAUCAUGCUGGGGAAUAUUCGAUAAAAGUGUGAGCUGCUUGUGG
rnacentral:misc_RNA from 1 species